AGAUUAAAUUUAACGGCCGCGGUAUCCUAACCGUGCGAAGGUAGCGUAAUCACUUGUUCUUUAAAUGAGGACUAGUAUGAAUGGCACCACGAAGGUUUUACUGUCUCCUUUUCCUAAUCAGUGAAACUAAUCUUCCCGUGAAGAAGCGGGAAUAAACGAAUAAGACGAGAAGACCCUAUGGAGCUUUAAACACAAUAACAAGUACUACUUUAAACAAAAUUUCUUAAUGACUUACUACCUGGUAUCAUGAUUAUUAGUUUUAGGUUGGGGUGACCGCGGAGAAAAACAUAACCUCCACAUUGAAUGAUAAAGUUCUAAGCAAAGAACUACAUUUCUAUGCAUCAAUAUAUUGACAUCAAUUGACCCAAUUAUUUUGAUCAACGAACCAAGUUACCCUAGGGAUAACAGCGCAAUCUACUUCAAGAGUCCAUAUCGACAAGUGGGUUUACGACCUCGAUGUUGGAUCAGGGUACCCNAGUGGUGCAGCCGCUACUAAAGGUUCGUUUGUUCAACGAUUA
rnacentral:rRNA from 1 species